AUAUACUUAACUAAAUAUAUCAUGGGAAUCAGUGUCUCUUCCUUCCUCUCAUCAACACCUUCUCACUCCCCAAAACCUGGAUUCUGAUCUGAAUUCUAAGUCACAGGAUAGAAAAGGGGAGCGACAGAAUAGUGAACCUCUUUGAUUCAUAAGGUUGAAUGUAUCAGACGGUUCUUGAAAAUAAAGGCCAUACUUCUUCUAUAUCAGAGUGUAAUAUAUAUUUCCAUUUGAAUCAAUAGGUCAUUGUGCCUUUUCUGUGAAAUAAACCUCAAAUACUAGAGUCCCUGAGGUUGUUGAACCACUUGUUAUGACAGUCCAGUAAAGAAAGCUAAACUUGAACUGAAAUGAUCUUUGUAUGAGGUGGUAAGUUUUUUACUUUCUGGAUCAGCGAUGAUUGAUUCAUACUAUCUAGCAAUUUUAUUUCUUUCCCCUAAUUGGUAGCAUUGGGCAGAGUGAGCUACCUUGUUAUAGUGACCUUCUGAGACCAUUUUCAGAACUCUUCACAGUUCACUGUGAUAAAAGCUAUAUAUUUGAAGUACUAGCUCACAAAGGUAUAGAAUAUGUUUUUUGGGGUCUGUGUACUUAAACUAGACUUCAUAAAACAGUUUUCCCAGGAUUUUUCUUUUUCGGGAUGGUAGAGGAUUCUGUGUAUACUUAAAGCUAGAGCCUUAGACAAGUUAUUUCACUUUUUUCUCUAUCUUUGUUUUCUCUUUACUAGAUAGAUUAUAUCAUUGGCAAAAGGUGACUUUGCCCUAGCCUUAAAUAGUUAGCAUCCCAUUUUAUGGAUGAUACCUUGUUCUUGACAUCUGCAAGAAAAGUUAAAUGGAAGGAUAGAUUAAGGUGUUAUAUGACAUGUUCAAACACUGCACAUACUUGGAAUUUUGAGAAUAAUCAUGCUGUAAUCUUUCAUUGUAGGUCAUGUGAAACUAACAGACUUUGGACUAUGCAAAGAAUCUAUUCAUGAUGGAACAGUCACACACACAUUUUGUGGAACAAUAGAAUACAUGGCCCCUGAAAUUUUGAUGAGAAGUGGCCACAAUCGUGCUGUGGAUUGGUGGAGUUUGGGAGCAUUAAUGUAUGACAUGCUGACUGGAGCACCCCCAUUCACUGGGGAGAAUAGAAAGAAAACAACUGACAACAUCCUCAAAUGUAAACUCAAUUUGCCUCCCUACCUCACACAAGAAGCCAGAGAUCUGCUUAGAAAGGUAAGGUUCUU